UGGACAAUGAACUUUCUCCUUUAGGGUCGGCCAAGCCCUCUUGGUGACCGAGAAAUCAAUGCUUAAUAUUUCAAAGGCUGAAACUCUAUCUCAUCUACUACACCCUCCACCUUGAGCUCCUUAGGCAGGGAACAAAUUGUUUAGCAUUUCAUCUCCCCUUUUUUCUAGUUGGCCGGACCACAUUUAGCAACAAGAACUUGAAACCGUGAAGUUUAAAGAGGUGUGACAGCUUCAUUACCCUCUUGUUCCCUCUUUUCCCUUCGGCCGUACACCAACAAACAAAGGGCUAUGGUAGUACCUUCCUUUUCCCUUGCAUGCAACUGAAUUCAUGUCUUGGAAGCUCAGGAACCAGUAAAGGGAGGUGCUUUGUUCGAUUGGAAAGCAUGGGUGGUAGUCAAGAAGGUGCGCAUAUUUUGUGAGUUAUGGACUGAUUCGCAGCUGUUUGGUAAAUUAUUUUGUGGAACGCGAGGAGGACGGAAGAGCAUUUGAAGACAUAAUUAUAUGGACGUUUUGCUGUUAUGUGCUGCUGUUUGAACAAUUGUUGUUACUGUUUCAUUGUUUGGAUGACUGUACUCAUCUGAGAAGUUGGAUUAUUUUUAACGCAUGAUUUAGCUACUGUUUUGAGACUUUCUAAUCAGU